GAUUAAUGGGCACACAUAUACUCUUAAAUAAAUGAAGUUAAGACCUAGUGUUACACAGAUCAGUAGGGUAACUAUAGUUUGCAAUAAUCUGUUGUAUAUAUUAAAAUAGCUAAAAGAGAAGAAUUCAAAUGGUUCUAGCAUAAAGAAAAAACAAAUAUUUAAGAUGAUGGAUAUCUGAAGUACACUGAUGUGAUCUUUACAAAUUAUUGGACUGUUUUAAAUUUAUCACAUAUACCCUGAAACUGCAUACAUCUGUUAAUAUUAUACGUCAAUAAAAUAUAAAUAAAUAAAUAAUAUCGACAGAUCCUUGGUAAAAUUUACCCAUUUUUCCUGACACUAGCAUUUUGUAAAACUACAGUAUAAUAUCACAAUUGGAAUAUUAACAUUUAUGCAAUAUAUCCACUCAGAUAUAUCCAGUUUUACUUUUAUUCAGUUGUAUGCAUUUGUGGGUGCAUGCAAAUUCUAUGUGCAGUGUUAUCAUCCGCGUAGGUUCUAACAUGACAGUCAAGAUACUUACCAGUUUCAAUACCCAAGAAUCCCUUAUGUGAACUAUUUAUCUACUCCCCUCAGAUUCUUUUGAGAUACAUGUUAUUUAUUAUGUAUUAUAUUUUUAUUGUUUGUACAUGUAGGAACCACAUAGUAUCCCAAGAAGAGAAACAAUUCAAUUAGUAAGAAGGUAAGUACAGAAAGGAAAGAAAAGGGGCAGGGGUCUCAUUAUUUAUUUUGAGUCACUGUCAUAAUCUGGUUAAACUAAUUCUAGGCACUUAUUUUUGUCCAGGGAUUUCGCUAAGCACAAGAAAGUUUAUAAAGAUAAGUAAGUAACAAUUUAAUUUUUUCCCCCUCAAUUGUGAGAGGUAAUCAGUCUGAACAAGAUAAGCACUGUGAGAUCUACAAUAUGCAAUCCUUGGAUCAUGCAAUGGCAAGGAAAAGGAGUGGUGCCAUCCAUGUUAAACUAUUUGUUGUUUAGCUUUUCAUGCAUACACAGUACACACUUGUACAUAAACACAUUUUACAUACUAUUGUCCACUCACAAAUAAUUCACAUAUUACAGAAUAUCUGAAUGUACUUUUAUCUGAAGACUUUCUCUUAAUUCCUAGGCUUUUCAGCAUUUUAUGACUUAUAACCAUUUCCAGCUACUUAUAAUGUAAUAUUUGAUAAGUACUACUGACUGCCCCUCUUUGGAUUCUCAUAGAUUUGUCUCUCCUCUUCAAUAACAGUUUCCAAUGUGGGGAGAGGAGGAUUUGUGUGGCAGGCUUUUUGAUAGCUUGUUUAUCUGAGUAUUUUUGUUAAGAUUUCAUAAUUGAAUGACAAUUUACCUAGAUACAAGAUUCUAUGUUCUCAGUGCUUUGUAUACAAUAUGUUAAAAAUGUGAUUUCAGACCUUUUUGCCUUUAAGUUUUCCAAAUGCAGGUAAAGCCUGAAACUUCAGCAGCCAUUUUGAUGUCAUGAGGGUAAUCAGCCUAAAAGGGAAUGCCAGCAUGCCAAGGAUGGUCUUGGAAAUGGGAAGGAUGUGAACAAGACUCCGAGAAGAGUAGUGGAGGAGAAAGAGACAAGCCGACACACCACAACAUUUAUGUGACAUAAAAUCUCGAGUUCUGAAAUAUUUUGAUUUCUGUAUCCCCAGUGGACAGAGCAUGCCACUACCUAGCACAGAAUACAUAUGUAGAUAUUGAAUAAAUAAGUUAUCCCUAUAAAUAGUGGAAUCAACUGUUUCAUUAGACAGAGGCUCAUAUGAUGAUGGUCUACAAGAAGUGUCUACAUCUAAGUUUUAAAAUUCAACAUUCAAUAUACUUAGUACAUUUAAGUUAUUUGUUGAAAAUGUGCAACAGUUUUUUAAAAACAUUAUUUUUCAGUAUAGUUUAGUAGAUCCAUACCUAUUCUUUUUUGGAUUCCAAGAAUGAGAGAAAUGUAGCAAGUUUGGCGUUGCUUUUCAACUGCCACAGUCACAAAAUAGCUUCCUAUUAGUGAAGAAUUUUGUUUUCUGCCUUUUUACUGUGUAGAAUGCUUUCCAAGUAGAAUAUAAACCUAAUUCAUUCAUAUUGUGCUAAGUAUGUUUGUAUCAUUAAAUUUUUGAAGAAAAACAUCAAGCCGUCAGCUUCAUGGAGGUCUAAUUAGUGUGCAGAACUGCCUUGACUACAUUCUUAAAAGAUGUAAGUAAAACUAUAAAAACAUCUUUCUUGGUGUUGAGGUUUUAAAUGAAUUAAUUAAGUUUAUUCCAAUUAGGUCAUUUUUCUUUCAAGAAAUAAUAUCACUUUCAACAUUUUCUAAUGUUUCAUAUGUAAAAUGAGUAAUCUAAACUUGGAGUCUCUACGUCCUCAGCUUGCAUACAUUCUGUUCUUCACCUGUUAAAAUAUAGACAAAUUCUUUAAUGAAGUUCGUCUCUAUCAGUUCACAAAUUGUCUCUUACUUGGUCAGUACAUUAACAACUUUUAGGCCUCCUACAUCACUAUUUUAUUGCAUUGGCUGUUGUAAAAUAUGUUCUCAAAUUUUUCUUUUGCUCUAAACCCCCUGAAUGUACUGUGUAAUUCCUUGGCUGAUUUUAAAUUGACAUUUAAAAUUACAUUUAAAAAUGUAUAUUUUAGAUAUUUGCCAAGUAUAUAAUUUCAAAAAUGAUAAAAAAUAUUCUUUAAGGAUAAAAAUAUUUAUUUUUAUAUAAAUGAAUGGAAUCUAAAAGCUAUAGUGAUUUAAUACCUGUCAUCAAAAAUUCAUCGUAUAUUAAUGUUCUCUUUUUCACUACUCAUAAAUCGCAUGCUGUUUUAUUUUCAUUUUGUUUUCACAUAUUCUUUUGACUUCUCUGAUAGAAUUGAUCAUUAUAUAAUCUAUUUAAUUGUUUGAAAACAUUGUAUCUAUCAACCUGUUUAGCAUUCUGUUAUAGAAUUCUGUACAUGUAUUAGAAUAUAAGUUUUUCCAGGGAACAUACAUUUUUAAUAUUAGAAAAUCUCUUUCGUUGUUAUUAAACAUGAGUUAUCAUUUAUAUGGUAAUUAAUACAAAAUCAAAUAAUAUAAGCAAGUGACUGUUUUGUAUGAAUAAUUAUUAACUACAAAUACUAAAAUAUUAAUUAAAAUGUAUCUGUUAAUAUUAUUCCAUGGAGAAAUAUUAUCAGCUUUUUCAAAUAAUUAAAUUGUCAAAUAGGUGAAUUUAUGCAGGAAGGUGAUUUUAGUUUUCUCUUAGUGAUGAAAACUAUCAGGCAAAUAAUUAUAAUUAUUAUUUUUCCCAGUCAUAUUCCUGAAAUGCUUCUGUCAAUUCAAUACCCUUUAAUAAAAGACUCAGCUAAUAUCAUUUUAAAUCCUCUCUGUUAGAAACAAGGAAUUUGGAAGAAUAUUCAGUAUUUCAAGAUACCUAAAAUAAUAGCUACCACUUUCUGAGUGCUUAGUAUGUGUGAAUCACAUUUUUUGUGGAAUAUUUUAUCUAUUCUUAUUAUAAUCCUAUGAAAUAAGAUCAUACCAAUAUUAUGUAUUAAAGAAGUAAGGAUCACAUAUUAGAGAUGUUAAAUAAAUUUUCAAAAAUGUUACACCUAUAAUAGGGAAUAUUAAAUUUAAAAAGUAGUGGUAUUUUGUACUGUUCAUUGAAAUAUAGUUAAACAAUUUAUCUCCUUUGAUUGAACUCAUAUGGUGGCAUUUGGUACAAAGCCAAAGUGUUCACAUGCUUUGUGCCCUAUCAUUUUUCAAAUUGAGAUAAUAUAUGCAUAUAUAGUAUUUUUUUUUUUUUGAGACGGAGUCUUGCUUUGUCACCCAGGCUGGAGUACAGUGGAACGAUCUCGGCUCACUGCAACCUCUGCCUCCCCGGUUCAAGUGAUUCUCUCACCUUAGCCUCCUGGGUAGCUGGAAUUACAGGUGCCCACCACCACGC
rnacentral:lncRNA from 1 species